rfam:Bacillus marisflavi strain JCM 11544 scaffold5, whole genome shotgun sequence.
UUCUUAUCCAGAGAGACGGAGGGACUGGCCCUAUGAUGUCUCGGCAGCGGACUCGUCCAAACGAGUGCUGUGCCACAUCCAGCAAGCCACCGGCUUGAAAGAUAAGAA